UAGAGUUUGAUCCUGGCUCAGGAUGAACGCUAGCUACAGGCUUAACACAUGCAAGUCGAGGGGAAACGGCAUUGAGUGCUUGCACUCUUUGGACGUCGACCGGCGCACGGGUGAGUAACGCGUAUCCAACCUUCCCAUUACUGUGGGAUAACCUGCCGAAAGGCAGACUAAUACCGCAUAGUCUUCGAUGACGGCAUCAGAUUUGAAGUAAAGAUUUAUCGGUAAUGGAUUGGGAUGCGUCUGAUUAGCUUGUUGGCGGGGUAACGGCCCACCAAGGCGACGAUCAGUAGGGGUUCUGAGAGGAAGGUCCCCCACAUUGGAACUGAGACACGGUCCAAACUCCUACGGGAGGCAGCAGUGAGGAAUAUUGGUCAAUGGACGGAAGUCUGAACCAGCCAAGUAGCGUGCAGGAAGACGGCCCUAUGGGUUGUAAACUGCUUUUGUAUGGGGAUAAAGUUAGGGACGUGUCCCUAUUUGCAGGUACCAUACGAAUAAGGACCGGCUAAUUCCGUGCCAGCAGCCGCGGUAAUACGGAAGGUCCAGGCGUUAUCCGGAUUUAUUGGGUUUAAAGGGAGCGUAGGCUGGAGAUUAAGUGUGUUGUGAAAUGUAGACGCUCAACGUCUGAAUUGCAGCGCAUACUGGUUUCCUUGAGUACGCACAACGUUGGCGGAAUUCGUCGUGUAGCGGUGAAAUGCUUAGAUAUGACGAAGAACUCCGAUUGCGAAGGCAGCUGACGGGAGCGCAACUGACGCUUAAGCUCGAAGGUGCGGGUAUCAAACAGGAUUAGAUACCCUGGUAGUCCGCACAGUAAACGAUGGAUGCCCGCUGUUGGUACCUGGUAUCAGCGGCUAAGCGAAAGCAUUAAGCAUCCCACCUGGGGAGUACGCCGGCAACGGUGAAACUCAAAGGAAUUGACGG
rnacentral:rRNA from 1 species